rnacentral:rRNA from 1 species
GAUGAACGCUGGCGGCGUGCCUAAUACAUGCAAGUCGAGCGAACAGACGAGGAGCUUGCUCCUCUGACGUUAGCGGCGAACGGGUGAGUAACACGUGAAUCACCUACCUAUACGACUGGGAUAACUUGGGGAAACCGGAUCCGAUACCGGAUAAUAUAUUGAACCGCAUGGUUCCAUGGUCAAAGACGGUUUUGCUGUCACUUAUAGGUGGUUCCGGGCCGCAUUAGCUAGUUGGUCAGGUAACGGCUUACCAAGGCAACGAUGCGUAGCCGACCUGAGAGGGUGAUCGGCCACACUGGAACUGAGACACGGUCCAGACUCCUACGGGAGGCAGCAGUAGGGAAUCUUCCGCAAUGGGCGAAAGCCUGACGGAGCAACGCCGCGUGAGUGAUGAAGGUCUUCGGAUUGUAAAACUCUGUUAUCAGGGAAGAACAAAUGUGGAAGAAACUAUGCACGUCUUGACGGUACCUAAUCAGAAAGCAACGGCUAACUACGUG